ACGUGUUCUGAAAUCUCAGAGUCAAAUUCAGAUUUGUUAGAUGCAAACAUUUCUGACAAAAUGGUCAGAUUUGUUUAUAUUGUUUAUGUGGCUGGAGGAGGAUAAUAUUCAUAGGAGUUUGGGAGUUUCAGGGGGUUUCACUCUUUCACUAUAAAAUACUAAACAACAGCAGCAGAGAUGAUCAUCUGAGCUGUUUUUUCCUCUUUGCUGGUGUAAGAAUAAUUAAAUGGACAAGAGAGAAAGAGAAAAAUGGCUAACAAAAAAGACAAAGUUACAAUCUACUGAACCAAAGAUGCCGAGUCUAGUCAGACACAACAGCAUUAAUAGCGGCAAACCAAACUUUUCUCACGUUGCACAGAAUCAUUCUGGUGAUUCACUCAGUCGCAAAAGAGAAAGCAGCAGUUCUUUUCAUCUCACCUACAAAAUAUUCUUCAUUUUACCUAAACGGCUUGUUUUGUGCUCAUUUUCUCGUUGUACUUUAUCAUUUAAUUAAUCAAAAUCAGCAAGAGAGAGAGAGAAGUGUUCCGACUGUCACUGAACAAUGCUGCAGGAAUCUGCAAUGACUUGGAAAGACCAAACAUGACCUGAACACAAAUAAUAUUUGUUUGCGAAGGCUUUGUAAGGUUGUUCCUAAGAAAUGGGUAUGAAAAUCAAAAAGUCAAUUGAUAUCUCUCUGCAACUUGUCUGACAAACACAUGGGAAAUUUUGAGAAAUUUUGACAGAUGUCAAAAUGAUAUCAUGAAAACAGUGAUGUCACCAGCAGAAGAUUCAGCUCGACACACAAGAGCUGCAUUUGAUUAUCAAAAACCCCUCACUGUGUGCUUCCAGCAUGACUGAAAGAAUGCCAGUUUUUUUCCCACUCCAGUUUUUACAGUGAAACCUGCAGUUGCAAACAAAUGACGGCACUUACAAAAGACCCCGUAGGAAGAAAACCUUUGGAAGGCUUUGAAAGCCCCCUUUUACUCCUGAGAUUACAUUUGAAAACUUCAAUAAAUUUCAGAGGAGUGAAACUAUCUACUCUUUUAAUCUUUGACUUAAGCACAGAGUAGUGUUGCUCUACUAGUGUGUGUCCGCUCAGGGCCACCGUAGAAACGCGGAUGUAAGCGGAUGUAAACAAAAACGAUUCAAUCUAACCUAAUAAAAGCAUAACAGUUCAUUAUGUAAGGUCUUUAUACACCACUGUAAACAUAGUUAUGUGUAUGAAACUGCAUUUCUGUCAACAGAUCCUCCUAAAUAUUACACACUGCACCUUUAAUCAUGUGUUCAUGGUGGUUGUCUUAUAAUGUUGAAUGUUCCCUGUCUUGUGUUGAACAAUCUGCAAUAAUAAUAAUGAUAAUAAAGCAUACAGUAAAGUGCAGUUGAUAAGCAGGUCAACAGCUGAGAGAUCACAUGGACACACACAUUAACCUUAUCAAUAAUAAUCAACAGUAACUUUGAACGAUGUGUAUUUUGAUAAGGUUACAUAAGUGAAAACAAAAUGUGAUUUAAAUGUUUACAAGCUUUUUAGUAUUUCU